AGCUAGAAUUAAGACUUAUUAUUUUAGUGUAAAAUGUCUUGAAAUACUUUCAGCAUGAAGUAUUGUGUGAUGAAAAAAAUGUGUAUUUACUACAAUGUGUAAAUCAACAAUAAAGGAGAUUAAAAGUGGGUGGUUAAAGACAUAUAAAGUGAUAUGGUAUAGUUCAACAACUGCCUGUAUUUUUGGAAUACUGAAGAACAGUCUGUUGUAACAGGUUAAACCCCAUGGAAAGAAUGUGCAUCAUCGCAUCGCCUGCCAAAAAAGGGAGCAAAAAAGAGACUACCUGAUGUAUGGACUUGAAUACCAGGUUUUACCCUGCACAAGCUGGCCGACAUGAGGAGAACAGGAGUGGGAAAACCGCGCCCUCUCCUUGACCAAGAAAAGCUGGAUUUGUUUAGAGGACCUGAUCAAAUGAGAUCAUGCACGAGACGCAUCGCGCAAAGGCCAUGACAGUAUAAUUGUUGCAAAGAAGUUUGACCGGCUAG